rnacentral:rRNA from 1 species
UACAGAGGGUGCAAGCGUUAAUCGGAAUUACUGGGCGUAAAGCGUGCGUAGACGGUAGCGUAAGUCGGGUGUGAAAGCCCCGGGCUCAACCUGGGAAUUGCAUUCGAGACUGCUCUGCUAGGGUGCGGAAGAGGGAAGCGGAAUUUCCGGUGUAGCGGUGAAAUGCGUAGAUAUCGAGAGGAACACCAGUGGCGAAGGCGAGUCCCUGGACACUUCCUGACACUGAGGCACGAAAGCUAGGGGAGCAAACAGG